UUAAACCUUGCAUUAUAAACUCAAACUCAAAAUCGUAUCACAAAUUCUAACUUUUGACCAUAAAUCAAUAUUAAUAGAUCAUAAACCCUAUAUAUCAAAUUCUAACUCAUAACACUAUACCCUAACGACUAACACCUCAGGGCGCUGGCUUUGGCUAAUUUGUCUACACUAAAGAGGCUAACAAUUGGCGAAGGAGGCGUGAUGCCGGUCCUCAGGAUCGUUCUCAUAAGGGACUGUUUAAAUCUGAAGACAAUAUCAGAGGGUAUCAAAUCUCUCGCCAAACUCAAGGAGUUGAGGCUCGAGAAUGUUUCAGUGCAGCUGGUGGAGCACAUUUGUGGAACUGAUCGUGCCAAUUUUCGACACAUACUCCUCAUCUCGUGUAAGUACUACUCUUCAACUGGAAGUUACAUCAAAGAAAAACUAGUGCUUUAGCUUAGAUGCUAAAAUCUGUUAUGUCAAUUGCUUGUAACAAUAUUCUUCGUACAUAUGGCUAUGAGGCAGCCAUUGAUGUUGUUUGUAUUGAUCUGUAUCAUGGUAGAUGUUCAACAUGUUUUUUUACUUGUUUCAGAAGUGAUCAGAAAGUUGGGUACGGGAAAUACGGUUUCGAUAGUAAUCAGAAAGUUGUAACUGUCAACAAUGGCAAUGAAUUUGUACCGAAAAUUGGAUAAAAACCUGUAUGAGACCAUCUUAACUGGUCAGAGAAUGACAAAGGAAGUUCUGCCUCAGCCGACUCUCUUCGAUCC
rnacentral:lncRNA from 1 species